rnacentral:rRNA from 1 species
AGCGAACGCUGGCGGCAGGCCUAACACAUGCAAGUCGAACGAACUCUUCGGAGUUAGUGGCGGACGGGUGAGUAACACGUGGGAACGUGCCUUUAGGUUCGGAAUAACUCAGGGAAACUUGUGCUAAUACCGAAUGUGCCCUUCGGGGGAAAGAUUUAUCGCCUUUAGAGCGGCCCGCGUCUGAUUAGCUAGUUGGUAGUGUAAUGGACUACCAAGGCUACGAUCAGUAGCUGGUCUGAGAGGAUGAUCAGCCACAUUGGGACUGAGACACGGCCCAAACUCCUACGGGAGGCAGCAGUGGGGAAUCUUGCGCAAUGGGCGAAGGCCUGACGCAGCCAUGCCGCGUGAAUGAUGGAGGUCUUAGGAUUGUAAAAUUCUUUCACCGGGGACGAUAAUGACGGUACCCGGAGAAGAAGCCCCGGCUAACUUCGUGCCAGCAGCCGCCGUAAGAC